UCCCUUCUGUAUCUUCGUUUUGAAUCAACAGCUUGGUAUCUUUGGGCAAGAGACAGUAACCAGAGCCCGGAAUACUCACUCGAGAAUCUCCAAGGUCCUGUUCACAGCCAGGGCAUCCCCUAGUGCCUGGGCCCCCUGGGUGCCAAUGGAGGCCACCUGCAGACUACGAGGAAGAGAUGCGGUCAGUGCGGACGGCCUGGGGCUCUCGGGCCCGCGCCCCACCCAGCCCAGCUUCCGUGCACCCUUGUCCCUGCUUCUCCAGCCCUGGACUUAGAGCUGCAGGUAGCAACAUAGCGCAGAAAACCAUCGGCCUGUGAGCUGUCCAAAGAACGCUAUGCGUCCGGCCUGUGCUGAUGCUGAGGACAGAGGCACUGGGCAGCCAUGAAGCAGCUCACUCAGGAUGGGGACAGAUUUACAUUUUGGAAAGGUGUUUGACCAGCAGUGUGAGUGGAUGGACCGGAGGUGGAGGCUGUUCCACAGGGGAUGGCAUGUGUAUCUCUGGCUGCAAGAAAAAGGUAAUCCUGCUAAUAAUAGCUGGUCCUCGCACGGCGCUUCCUCUGUGCCUGGCCCAUCGUCCUCAGCACUUGCCUUGAAUUCAGCACCCACUGAAGCUGCUUCAACAAUCAGAAGGCGGAGUCUACAGGCAAGGGUUCACCUGGAACCCAGUUCCUGAGAGGUGACCUCCAAACACUUGGAAUGUCCUGCCUGGUGAGGUAUCUGAGCCUCUGGAACUUUCUGGAAUGGGCAGAAACAAGCAGCCCACGUGUUUCCAAACCACUUCUCCUUGCAAGCGCCUCUGGCCAGGUCCACGAGGGCUUUCACUUGCCCAGCUGGGGAGCCGGGGCCUCGGCCCUGGCCUGCUUCCCCACCAGUCCGCACCUCCUGCUUCCUCAUGGGGUCCGGGAUUGCUGCCAGGAGCUGUGAAGACAGGGCCCAGGUGCUGUGUGCCACAUCACCACCCUGGCCUGG